GGGGCCGAAAAUGGUCUCGACUGGUUUAGUAACGCUUGGGUUGCACGCCGAGGUUGAUCGGUUGGCCUCGUAAAAAGCCGAUCAAACAACAACUGCCAACGAAGAAAUGGCACUUGCUGCUUAAUAAAUAGCAGCACGUCCCACUCCCGACGCCCGAUAGGGAUGUUGGGACGUCUAGAUCGGGCUGGCUGUUCUCCGGGGGUUCCCCGGCGGAGACAGUGAGAUUUCACCGGGAAACUGGCCGGAUGGCGUCCCGUUCCCUGACAAACCAUCCGGUGAGACGCAAAAGGGGAACUAAGCGUGUAGAUACCCAAUGUGGUGCUACUCCAGGACCCGGGUUCGACUCCCGGCGGCUCCACCA
rnacentral:tmRNA from 1 species